rnacentral:rRNA from 1 species
UUGAACGCUGGCGGCAUGCCUUACACAUGCAAGUCGAACGGUAACGCGGGGCAACCUGGCGACGAGUGGCGAACGGGUGAGUAAUGCAUCGGAACGUGCCCAGUAGUGGGGGAUAGCCCGGCGAAAGCCGGAUUAAUACCGCAUACGACCUACGGGUGAAAGCGGGGGACCGUAAGGCCUCGCGCUAUUGGAGCGGCCGAUGUCAGAUUAGGUAGUUGGUGGGGUAAAGGCCUACCAAGCCUACGAUCUGUAGCUGGUCUGAGAGGACGACCAGCCACACUGGAACUGAGACACGGUCCAGACUCCUACGGGAGGCAGCAGUGGGGAAUUUUGGACAAUGGGCGAAAGCCUGAUCCAGCCAUACCGCGUGAGUGAAGAAGGCCUUCGGGUUGUAAAGCUCUUUCAGCCGGAAAGAAAUUGCUUCUAUUAAUACUAGGAGUAGAUGACGGUACCGGAAGAAGAAGCACCGGCUAACUACGU